rnacentral:tRNA from 1 species
GGCUGCGUAGCUCAGUGGAAAGAGCAUGGGCUUGGAAGUCAGAGGUCCUGGGUUCAAAUCCCGGCUCUGCCA